GUUUGUGCAAAAUCAUGUCUUAAAAAGACCUAAAAAAACCCCUUUUAGCCCAUACCUAAUCUGACUCUGCCACGUUCUCCCAGCAGUGACAUGCCCGAGGUCCCACAAGAAGUCUGUGGCAGAGAAAGGACCAGGAGUGCUGCUUUUCUUCACCUCGGUCCUGCAUUAAUGGAUCACUUGUUCCAGCUGGGAUUGAUUUCAGCCAGAGCCUGGCUUCUCCGAGGCAAGGUUAGUGUGUCCUCACCAUCCGUGCUUCUACUGCCAAAGGUGGAGGAGGGGAGAAAACGGAGCUGAGAUCGUGUAAAGUGAUCAUUACAGGAAAAAAAGAGACUGAAAACGCAUUUAUUUCUGCCUCCUAUCUGUGACUUUUAAGCUGUCUUUGAGUAACUGGGUGGCUGCUGGGGAUAGCAGGAACCCAACUAUCCUCUCUGCUGUUCUCUGUCAAGAUGACACAGCUCUGAAAGAAAUUAGAAAUAUGUUUUUUCAUCUUGCUGCCGUAAGAGCUUAGAAAAUACUUGUCCAGAAGCUGGUCAAGGUCAUAUAAAACCAUCUAAUGACCAGUGUGUCAGUCAAGGAGAUGUGCCCUGGUUUCUCCUGCCCAGGUGGCCACCACCACCUCUGCCCAGCCACAGUGCUCACCCCAGUGUACGCAGCAGAGGGGAUUUCAAUGGACCUGAUGGCAAAGCCUGAGAUAAUUAUUCCAUUGUACUUACACUGGAGUAAUUUAUUUUGCAAGCAAGUUGGGCUCUGGAGAGAAGAAAACAGCUCAUUGCUUGCCAAAUUCCCCGAGAUCCUGUCCUAGGUUUUUUGUCUGAGGACAUCAGAAGGCUCACUUCUUCCCUGCCAUCAUCUUUUGGCAGGAAAAAGCCGUGAUGAAGCCGUGGGAGAUGGUGCAUUAGCUCCGUUGGUGGAGCCAUCCAGCAAGUCUUUACUUGGGAAGCCAGGACAGCACUUGGGUCUCUGCCUGCUUUGCAUUACCCUCCCUGAAGCGUUGGCUCAUUGUUGACCCCACAGGGGGGCUGGAGGGAUCCCACAGCAUGCACGCCAACCCAGAGGGCCUAGUGAGCAAUUUCUGGCCACCUCUAGGGAUAAUUUGCAUUUCUUUUGGUCGCACCGGCCCACCUUAAUGAGCAGUUCUGCCUUGCGUUUGACUUUUUUUUUUCCCAGGAUAGCAGAUUUUGGAGGUUACAAAGAAGCAGAAAAUCUGCAAACUUUAUUAAAGAGGAAAACGUUUAAUAAAACGCGAAACCAGAGCAUAUUCUGCGGUGCUCUGGAAAUGCUCCCGGCGUUCCCUGGUGUGAACACACAAGGACGCCCCGGCAAACUCUGCAGCACCUCUCAGGUGCCUUUUUCUCUUCUAACUCCAAAUUUUACUAAUACAACUUCACUUUGGGCUGAAUAUCCCAGCAGAUCUAUUGGCUUGUUUAACGGAGAGGUAGUUCAUACGUUCCAGCUCUCUGCAGCUGAACGUAGGAAUUAUCCAGCGAUGGUUGUGGUCUGCAGUCCCAUGGCAGUGGGUAGUGACGUGAGAAAAACUGGAGGAACACUGCAGGUGAUGCUUUUAAUACAGCUCAGAAACUUUGGUUCACGGGAAGCGCCACAAGAAACUAUUUUGCCUGCACCCACCUUGGGAAGAUUUAUUUUAUGCUUAGCUUUAAGCUAUGCUUAUGUGAGUGCCAGAACCUGGAAGAUGAAUAGCUGUUGGAUUCUUCGUUCCCUCCCUGGUCCAGGAGCCUGUUCAAGAUAGAGACUAUGACGAUCAUCGGUUAUCAGCUCUCCAUAACGUGGAGCAGAGCAAGCAGAAAUACCAAAUCAUCCAGCUGGAGCUGUUGGAUGAAGUGAGGAGGAGCAGUCCUGGUCACUGAGAGUCACCACCCAUGGCAAAAGGAGCACUUGACAGAUCGAGAGGUUUAGUAAGUUCUAUUUUCAGAUGGAGGCAUCAGUGCCACGUUGGGAAGAACAAAAUAUUUGCCUUCUGCUAAAGCAAGCCGGCGUUUUACCGCAGCACCCUCUGUGCUCUCAAUUAUCUGCAGCCCGUGUGUAAAUUUAUCUCACUUUUGCGAGCCACUGGAAGAAGAAGCUUUCCUGUCAAGGAGGAAGGCAUGAAUAAAGGGGAGACGUGAGCAGACAGAAAGGCACCUCCAGCUAGGACAAGGAGAGCCUAAAGCAGGGAGGCACACCCAAGGAGGAGAAAACCCAGCCUGCUAACGAAGGAGGUUUCAGCUCUCGUUCGGACCCUGGUCAAGAAAACAGAACACAUUGUUUGUGAUGGCAGCCUCCACCGAAACGGCUCAGGAGCCAAGUUAAGGCUAAGGAGGAAAUUCAGCCUCUCCAAAGAUGAAAGGUCUGCAUGCUUUCUUCCCUUCUCUCUGCCGGUUCCCACGCGUGCCUCGCUCUGCUUAGUGCGGCCCCAUCAUCUGCCAGGCAAGGAGAGGUCCCAGGGCUGGUCACCAUCAGUGGUUUGGUGCUGAGCUGCUCAUUAGCUGCUCAUUACCAAGCACAAAAUGUCUUGUAGUGGACAUGGUGACUGAGUGCACCUUUGGGUGAUACCUCUCCCAAGAAGAUCCCACACAGGAGUGUGACAAGCUGAGUGAGACGUGUGCUCAGAUUGAGACGCGAGGAAGCUGGUUGGUAGCACUGGGACCUCAGGGCUGCUCCAAGGAGUGGUUUCGCAGGCUGGGUGACGUGGGACAGAGAAUGAGAAGGUAAAUUGGAGCCACCUCAGUGGACCUUGGGAGUGCUGGGCUUAGAUCAACAUUGCAAGCCAGGAGUCUUUGCAGACCUUGAGCCUUAUUCAGGCUGGCAAAGUGACAGCAGCACAGCCGUGAUGCUUUAAUUCAUCCAGUGUGUGGAACCCCUACUUUAGGACCAAAAAGCCUAUGAUGUACAUGAUAUAAACUCCUGUUCCCUCUGCUAGGAAACAGAAACCAGGCUGAGCACGACUGUGUUAUGGUCACUGUUGGCUGAGUGGGUGGGUGCAUCCCCUGCGGUGGUUCUUUCAGGAAGAUACGGACUAAUUUAAUUGGUAAAAACUCUUCCGUAAAUUAAAAGUUCAGGCUCUCGGCUCAUGUUUUUAAACUUUAAGCACAUCUGGUUUCUUUGCUAAAGGCUCUUGCUCCUGUAGGAGAGCUAUAAUAAUGUCAAAACCUUAUUUAAUAGGGGGGAGACGCGUGGUGGAGGCGUGAGGUGGGUUUUAAUUGUAUUUCUUGCCCCAUACCUGGAGCUGUGUGAUGUCGAAUGAUGCAACACUGCCGAGCUCCCCAUCAACAUCAUCCCAUGCUGUGGGAUUUCCCAU